rnacentral:rRNA from 1 species
CGUAACACGUGAGCAACCUUCCGAAAUAUGGGGGAUAGCCGGCCUAACGGCCGAGUAAUACCGCAUACGCUCUCGAUGAGGCAUUUCAUUGAGAGGAAACCUCCGGGGUAUUUCGAGGGGCUCGCGGCCUAUCAGCUAGUUGGCGAGGUAACGGCUCACCAAGGCAACGACGGGUAGCUGGUCUGAGAGGAUGGCCAGCCACAUUGGGACUGAGACACGGCCCAG